UUCCAGAGCAGUUUCGCUUACAGACGCCGCAAGUUGAAGCUCAGAUCAUUUCCACGUGUCAUGAAACUUUUUUCUGCAAUCAUUAUGAAACGUAAAAACCAUUUUUACCCAAUCAUUACAAAACGUAGGUUUUGCAUUUUUAGCACACAGACCGUGGAAACAAGCGAGGCUGUGCCCCCAAGCUAAAGCAACUCACCGUGGUUCGUGGUUCGACCCAGUGAUUUUUCAACUUGCUGGUGGAGUAAAGCAUUUGCGUGCAAUCAUUCUGUUUCCCUUUCAAGACCCAGGAAGUGAGGUGACACACUCAACAGAAGCUUAAACCAGGCUCUGCGGAGAUGACUCGGCCCCCCGGGGACAAUGCGCGUGCUCUGAGGAUGUCUAAGGAGCCAGUUUGCGAUUCUUGGACAUUCGGCUUCCCGUGGCGUUGACAGAGCAUUCGGACGAGCAGGUGAAUUGCUCCGGUGUGUUUUCCAGGUGUGUCCUGGCCUCAGAGCAGUGAUUGCUGAAAGCCAAGCACAAGCCGAUACCUGCAGCCGAGAAGACCCCUGGACGCAUUCCUGAUUCCAGCACCGUUUCAUCCUUCAGGUUUCAGGCCAUGGUUGGCUGCUGGUAACUGAAAUCAUGAGAGGCGAUAAUCGUGGAUCACAAGGACCCCUGUGGAAAUCGCUACACACAAAGAGCUUAGAACAGAGCCUGACCCACCGUGAGCACUGUGCAGUCACCUAUUCUAAGCCAAAGCGCAUCUACGGACAGAUUGGGAGAGCGCCCAGACGUGAAGGGAAGAGUGCCCAGACCUGUGCUGGUGGCUCCAUGUGCCACUUCCAAGGACUCGCAUCUGGCGCAGGAUCCAAUGUUUCCCAUUUGUAAGCACUAAAAUUAGUCCAACUGUGCUUGCUAAUUCUGUAGACACAACCCAGCUUGUGCAAAUGUCCUCUCUUCCAUUUCUGGGUGGAUUUUUGCAUAUUCCUGACUGCCAAUUUUGUGUUCUUAGGGGAAGAUAGAAGUCGAAAAUCAUCUAGCUGCUUACUGUGAAACACAUGCUGUGCAGCCCAGAGUUCUGGUUUAGGGAGAGGGGCUACACGCACCGUGCUCAUAAGACAAACUCGCCCAAGCGUCCCGUGUUGCUCACCGCUGCAUGCAGAAGAAAGAACGGGAACUGUGAUUUAUUGAGCACUUACUAUGGACCAAGGAAUUCAGCAAGCUUUUCUUUAUUUGACAUAAUUUCAUCUGAUGUUCACAGCAAUCUUAUACAAUUUCUUUUAAUCGCCAUUUUACAGACAAGGAAAUUCAGCGUCUAAAGAUUUAGUAACUUGUCCAAAGGUGCAGCCAAAAAAUGGACCUGGUUGAGAUUUGAGCCCAGAUCUUUUCGACUACAAAGGCUGAAUUCUUAACCUCAGUGCUCCGUCUGCCUCGCCCUGCCCCUGGGCCCCGGCCUGGGUGGACACCAUCAGCGGGCUCCCGGCUCUCAGGCCUCUCAGUGGCUUUGUUGGAGAAGACAACGGGGCAUGGGCAGGAAGACAAUGAGGUCUGGACUUUGGUUCCCUGGGCUCCUCCUGGCUUCAUCGUGGAGAGCGGGCUGUGCCUCUCGCCAAAGACAGAACUCUCUGUGGAUGACUCCCUCCUUACAGCUCCUCUGUCCGCUUCAGGAACUGACCGUCUGAUGACCCUCUACCGCGCUGAUCUCCUUACGCCUCCCCACACCUGGGCAAACCUUCUCUUUAUUCAACACUCCCAAGAUGACCCAGUGUGAGCCCUCUCUUCCCCACCAGGCUCCUGACCCUACACCAACAUCAUCUCCAAGUUGUAGGGGAAGAGACUAGUACUUGGAGAAAGUAAGUCAUUGCUCAGGGUCAGUGGCCUGGGGCUUGAAUUUGGGUUAAGAGUCCAAGCUCUUAGCUUCUUAAUGACUGCAUAAAAAAUAAAAUAUGUGGUACAUUAGGUUAGGCCACAGCUGGGGUGCCCACAUCCCAUAUCAAAGUACCUGGAAAGCAGUGCCACCUCUUCUUCUUUUUUCUUUUCUAAGAUUUAUUUAUUUAUUUGAAAUGCAGAGUUACAGAGUAACAGAGGGAGAGAGAGAGAGAGAUCUUCUAUCAGCUGGUUCACUUCCCAAACAACCAUAACAGCUGGGGCAGGGCCAGGCCAAAGCCAGGAACCAGGAGCUUCCUCCGGAUCACUCAUGUGGGUGCAGGGGCCCAAGGACUUAGGCCAUCCUUGGCUGCCUUCCCAGGCACUCCAGCAAUGAGUUGGAUCGGAAGCAGAGCAGCUGGGGCUUGAACUGGCACCCACAUGGGAUGCAGACUGCAGACUACAGCCCAACCUGCUGCGCCACAGUGCCGGCCCCUCUGCUUCUUCUGAUUUAGCUUCCUGUCAAUACACUUGGGAAGCUCAAGUACUAGGGUUCCUGCCACUCAUGGGGGAAAACUGGAUGUAGUUACCGGCUCCUGGCUUUAGCCUGACCCAGCCUUGGCUAUUGUGGGCAUUUGGGAAAUGGCCUAGCAGAAGGAAGAUCUGUCUCUCUCUGUCUCUCCCUGUCUCUCUGUCACUCUGCCUCUCAAAGAAACAAGUAGAUCUAAGAAAAAUAAAAAAUAAAAUACACUUAUUUUCACUGCCCCUUUCACGCCUUUAUUUCAUGAAUGCUAGCUCACUUUUGUAGCUAAUACUUGUUAUCCCCAUUUUACAAGUGAGAAAACUGAGGCUCAAAGGGAAUUCACCUGCUCAAGGGCACAAAGUCACAAAGAGGCACAGCUAAGACAUGAACCCCAGGCUGUCCAGACAACCUGCCUUUCACAGAAGCUGCAGGGGUGGGUGGAAGGCGGGGAAAGAAGGCACCUGUGUCCAUGGAGGAGUUCGCAGGGUGGGUCUAAGGGAUGGAUCCACUCGUGAGUCCAAGAGACAAGCUUGGGGCUGAGGGUGGCAGCAAAGGGUGCCAGCCAGGAGGCCUUUGCCAAGGAGAACAAGGAUCCUUGGGUCGCCCCUAGGUUGGGCCGGUUGAGUAGGGCCUACAUGCAGGUCUGUUGGUAGACAUUUGCCCAGUAUUGACUGUGUGCCAGGGAUGGUACUGGGCUCUGGGGUGCCCUGUGUAGGGGCAGAGGAACAAAGAGCAGGCCUAAGCUGCAGAUGGGAAAUGGGCAUGAGGCCAAGCUUGUCUUAGCCCUGCCCAUCACCUCAUCCCUGGAAGCCCUCUCAUCAAGGCUACCCCCAAAACGCCGCUCCACACCACAGUGUCCCACUGGAGUCAUCAUAUACUUGACUCUGCCUUUCUCUCCAACAUGCAGCUCAGCCCUGCUUAAAUCAGCCUCUGCA